rnacentral:miRNA from 1 species
UCCCUGGAGUUUCUUCUU